GAUGAACGCUAGCGGCAGGCCUAACACAUGCAAGUCGAGGGAGGAGCUUUCGGGCUUCGACCGGCGUACGGGUGCGUAACGCGUAUACAAUCUGCCUUUCACAUAGGGAUAGCCCGAAGAAAUUUGGAUUAAUACCUAAUGGUAUAUAGAGGUGGCAUCGCCUUUAUAUUAAAGCUGAGGCGGUGAAAGAUGAGUAUGCGUUCUAUUAGCUAGUUGGAGAGGUAACGGCUCCCCAAGGCGACGAUAGAUAGGGGUUCUGAGAGGGAUAUCCCCCACACUGGUACUGAGAUACGGACCAGACUCCUACGGGAGGCAGCAGUGAGGAAUAUUGGACAAUGGUCGGAAGACUGAUCCAGCCAUGCCGCGUGCAGGAAGACGGCCUUAUGGGUUGUAAACUGCUUUUGCAGGGGAAGAAUAAGGACUACGCGUAGUUUGAUGACGGUACUCUGCGAAUAAGCAUCGGCUAACUCCGUG
rnacentral:rRNA from 1 species